GUGGGGAAUAUUGGACAAUGGGCGAAAGCCUGAUCCAGCCAUGCCGCGUGUGUGAAGAAGGUCUUCGGAUUGUAAAGCACUUUAAGUUGGGAGGAAGGGCAGUAAGUUAAUACCUUGUUGUUUUGACGUUACCGACAGAAUAAGCACCGGCUAACUUCGUGCCAGCAGCCGCGGUAAUACGAAGGGUGCAAGCGUUAAUCGGAAUUACUGGGCGUAAAGCGCGCGUAGGUGGUUCAGCAAGUUGGAGGUGAAAUCCCCGGGCUCAACCUGGGAACUGCCUCCAAAACUACUGGGCUAGAGUACGGUAGAGGGUAGUGGAAUUUCCUGUGUAGCGGUGAAAUGCGUAGAUAUAGGAAGGAACACCAGUGGCGAAGGCGACUACCUGGACUGAUACUGACACUGAGGUGCGAAAGCGUGGGGAGCAAACAGGAUUAGAAACCCGGGUAGUCC
rnacentral:rRNA from 1 species